rnacentral:lncRNA from 1 species
GUUGUAACCUAAAACAUAAUGCCAAUGUAAAUUCCAUCACAUCUAAGCAGCUGUCAAGCACUCUGAAGUCUGAGAUAUUCAACUGAUAUAAUUCUAUGAAAUUCAAAGUGUAAUGGCACAGACAUUGAAGAGUUCUAUCGUUAAAGGAAACAGAAGGAGAUAAUCACUAAACACAAAGCUUUAUCAUAAGUAAAGACAUA